GCUGCGACGAGCUCGGGCGGGCGGCGGCGCUAGGUUUUUUUCGGUUUUUUUUUGGAAUUUUAUUUUUUUUCGUGAUUUUUUCUCUUUGCAUGCUGUGCCCUGUCCGCAUGCAAAGAUCUGCAUUUUCGCAGACGAUGCGAAAAUCACUCUGGCCCGUUUGCAAAAACGGUUUUUGUAGUAGUGUCUCAACCUGAGAAAAACACAAACAUUGUAUCCAGAUUUAUAUGACGCAUAGCUAAGAAUUACUUUUUAAAUAGAGGGGUAUAUUGCUUUUUGAGUGUCUUCAAAGCUAGUGGUAAAGUUUGGAGGUGAAAGUAAUUAGUUGUGCAAUUCUCAGUUGUGUUCCGACUUUGUUUUCGAAAAGCUUAACACAAUCUUCCUUUUCGUUUAGGCUUAUGUUUAUAAGCUAAAAUUUGAAUUUUUAAUCUUAAAUUUAUAGUUGAUUUUAAAGUUUAUUUAGCGAAGUUUAUUUUUCAGAAUCAGCUUUUAAAAUCAUUAAGAAUAUGUAUAUAUAACUCUUAUUUAUAAAUUAUUUUUUAAAAUAUGUCGUUCGACCUUUUAAUAAAAAAAACUCAAAACAAUCCCUUGAUUGCUUUUCUUCGUUUUCUUAGAGAGGUUUCUUUAGACGAGAUACUUUCUUUACAGUUUAUAGGAAUGGAACACACUCCAAAGACGAGGCCAGUGGCUGCGCAGCGGCCAGUUCGAAUUCGACUCUCGGAGUGUUGGUUGUACUUGUACAUAUCGUGAGGCAAUGCUGUACCUGUACUCUUGUGAUGUUUCCAGCCAAGUGCUUCGGGGACAAACAGGGCCUCUGAGCUGCACCGAGCCACCGAGGCAUUGCAUAUGUGCACUGGGAAGAGGAUUGUCUGCAGUGAUAGGUGAGCGCCGCACAGGAGCCGCGUCCACUGAGGCUUAUUUAAGGCUGUAUUGGUAUGGUUUAACUGCAUCGUUUCGAUCUCUUAUAUUACUUUGGCUUGAUUGGUAUAUUUGCAUACCUGAUAUUUCAAUUAUAUC
rnacentral:lncRNA from 1 species